UACGUAGGGUGCAAGCGUUGUCCGGAAUUAUUGGGCGUAAAGAGCUCGUAGGCGGUUUGUCGCGUCUGCUGUGAAAAUCCAAGGCUCAACCUUGGACCUGCAGUGGGUACGGGCAGACUAGAGUGCGGUAGGGAGAUGGGAAUUCCUGGUGUAGCGGUGGAAUGCGCAGAUAUCAGGAGGAACACCAAUGGCGAAGGCACAUCUCUGGCCGUAACUGACGCUGAGGAGCGAAAGCGUGGGGAGCGAACAGG
rnacentral:rRNA from 1 species